rnacentral:lncRNA from 1 species
CGUUGAGAUUGUGAAUGUGAAAAAUGCAAAAAUGAUAGUCUUAUUUCUCAUUAAAUCCAAAGAGGGGUCUUUCUGUUCUUGAAUUUGUCUUUACCUAUUUGAAGGUGAUGGAGAUGAGAUUCAUGCAGCAUUAACUGAGUGGACAGGGCAAAGGACAGUACCUAAUGUGUUUAUUGGAGGCAAGCACAUUGGUGGUUGUGACUGUAAGGCUACACACUCAUGUUGCUUCUUUUUCACGUGGCAAAGACAAAACUAGACUUGUUUUUUUUCUUUCUGUUUUCAUUAUUUGUGUGUAAUAUUUUUAUCACAUGUUUAUUUGUUGCAGCUAUUUUGGAGAAACACCGUGCAGGUCAAUUGAUUCCUCUUCUCACUGAUGCUGGAGCCAUCGCCAAGAACUCUGCUCAGCUCUGAAUAGUCACAUAAUGUUUCUGGAACUACUAGUAUUUGCUAAAGUUUGUGACAUUACUUUGUAUGAAUAUAAAAUACACAAAACAAGCAUGUGUAAUAAUAUACACUUAUGUUAGUAGAGAUAUAGUUGGUUAUAACUAUAUAAUUCUAAAAUAUGUGAAAGAGGAUCAUCUUAGUGGUUAAUCUUUAAAUAUAAAACUCUGGUUAUUAUUUGCAAAAUUACUUUUUUUUUACUAGUACUAGCAUAGCAUCAAUCUUUUAUCCGGGUUUAAACCUAAGCCUUCAACCUCCUUGAUUCUUUAGAAUUUAAGUCGUAAAAUUAAUAAAAAUUGUAAAAUUAUAUCGAUUGUUUUAAAAUUUUAAGUUGUUUACUUUGAUUGGUAUUAAAACUUAGUAUCUUAGUAGAAUCUUUUCUAUAUUGGUUGUUGAUCUGAUCAUGUUAUGGGUGAUUGUCCGAGUUCAAAUCUUAGUUUUCAGUUGGUGAAAGAAUUUGAAGCUUUUUUGAACAAAAAUGGUUUUGUUUGUUGGAUUCAUGUUCUCAAUUAAGUCGGACGAUUUAGCUAAGUAUGACCUUCCUGAAGUAGAGUUUAUGAUUUUGUGUCUUCUUUUUUUGGUGAAUGCGAUUUUUGCGGAUGCUUCCACCAUUACAUUCCUGCGUAUAGUUUCUCAGUUUUUCUUCGUUGGACUUUCAGCCCAUCUUGUUCACCAAAAAAAGAGACGAUUGCUCUUUAGACACCCACCGAACGACAAUUAAUUGUUGUUCGAUACUUGUUCAAAAGGAAAAAAAAAACUACGAUUCAUUACUUUUUAGAUUGGUUGAGUCACUUUUUAAAUUGGUUCAUCUAAUUGAAAAAGUAUUUCAAACGACUUUCUUAAAUGUCUAAAGAAUAAUAUAUAAGACUCACUCUCUUAUUGAAUAAAUACAUGUGAGUCACACCACUUUAAGAAUAAAUCAUAUAUAAAUAAUACGUGUAUUUCACACGGUAAAAGAGUGAUUAUUUUAGUUUUUGACACAUGAAAGAUUAAGUGUUAGAAAAAGUGUGUUAAAGCGAAUGUUGUAAAUAUAAUGUAUUUGGGGGGUAUAUGUAUAAACGGAGAGUAUGAAGUAAAAUUCCAUUUUAAACAUAUAAUCAACCAACAAAAACACGGUAAUUAACUAACUUCACCCGCCGCGCCAAAUUUUGAUGACAAGCUCAUAAAAAUUCCACCAAGCAAGAUCAAAUUCCAACACCUGUUUUCUGUUUUCAUCUAACACCUGUUUUCAUAUACAAGAAAUGGGUUCUAUGCAGAGUUCUCAGAAGAGCAAAGAAGAGAUGGAAACUGCCAUGAAUAAAGCUAAGGAGAUUGCCGCUUCAUCCCCCGUCUUUGUCUUCAGGUUUUUUUUUUUUUUUUAUUUCGUUCAUAAUUUUUUUUUUGUGGGGAUGCCAGUGAUUUUUAGGGUUUAGGGGAAUCUCAAAAUAGACCGACUAUAUUUAUUUCUCUAUGUGGUGUGUUUCAUGGUAAUUGAUUGUGCAUGUAAAUUUAGGAAUUUGUCUUUUCAAUUAUGGCUUAGUGUAUGUUUGGUUAUGUCACUUAUGUGAAUUACUAGAUUCUGGAAAAUUGAUUGUGUUGAACGCAAGGUGAUUUAUGUUUGAAUUAGUGCUAGCAACACUCUUGAGUCAAAUUUUGUGUCUUGUUGUUAAUAUUUGGCUGGCUUGUUCAAUCAAAGGAAUUCCACUUCACUGUAGGUGUUAAAUGUGGCUGUUAUUAUUGAUAAGUCUUUAUUUUUCACAUGUGGUAAGCUACAAACUUACACUAAGCUUGUGUCAGGUGGUUGUCAAAUGAGGUAGUGUGGGAUACUUGGUCAGUGAGAGUGAGGAAGGGUGGCUAUAAUUGUUUGUGCUUUGUAUGUGCGUGAGAGAGAUGUAAGAAACAUGUGUGCUGACUGUUCAACCGGUUGCUUGUUAUACUCUUCAAUGAAAAGGGGACGUGGCAAUGUAAAUGUGCGCGUGUCCAAGCGUUUGAUGCUAGCGGUUCUCUAAUGUAAUAUAGGUUGGAAACUAAAUUCAAAGCUAAAAAGCUGCAAAUUCUAGUUAAAGUUAGAAUCAAUUCUAGAGACAUAAUCAGUUUUAUUCAAGAACAUUUGAACAUGUCAAAAUCAAUUCUACACCUGUAGAAUCAAUUUCGGCUUCUGUAAAAGUGGAACCAAACAUACACUCGGCCUUCGUUUCGAAACACGACGUAACCUCACGUCCACACAGAAGCACUAGUUGUGGCUUCACAAUUUUCACAAUGGAAACGCACGGUAAUUGUAGCUUCACAAUUUUCAUGUGUAAAGUACAUGGGAUGCGAGAAUGAGCCUUCAAAAGCUGUUCCGAACACACACUUAACUGUUUUUAUUUUUUUACCAAACAAACAUAAUUUAUGAAACACAAAAAAGGGGUUACAAAGGAUUGGGUGGGGGGACAGGAACCAAUGCCCAAUAAUUCCCUAUAGAGAUAAUAGCUAAUAAAACUGGGCACUUAGCUGUUAGCCAAUGCUGUGCAAUUUGAUCACAUGUAUGCAUUAAAUUGGUUGUCAAGACAACUUGGUGUCUUUCACACGUAGGUUUAAUGUUGAUAAUCUCAUUCUGUAAUUUAUGUUGUGGUGUGGCAGUAAGACUUAUUGUGGUUACUGCAAUCGGGUCAAGGAUCUACUCAAACAGCUGGGAGCAGCCCACAAGGUCAUUGAAUUGGAUACAGAAAGUGAGUUUACUUUCAAUGCCGUCUCGAUAGAUUUCAUGUUUGCUCCAUUAUGUGCUUUUUCCAAAAGUUGAAUGUCAGGACUACUUUGUUUGGUUGCCCCUCUUAGGUCUUUGUUUGUUAUUGGACCUCUUAGACAUAUUUUAAAUUUUCCAAUUUCACUUAGGCUAUGUUUGGGAGUUUUGGAGGGAACGAGAGAACUUUGGAGAAAAUGAAAAAGAAGGAAGGAUAAAACAAAAUCUCCGUAUAUGGGGAAAACAAAAAAUGUAUUGGAAGAAGACUUUAGAGGGCAUACGUAAUACAUGAUUUUUUUAUUUCAAUGUUUUUAUAAUAGUCUCAAUUAAAAGUGUAUUAAUCAUAAACGUUUUCUUCUUAUUCUCUACAAAAAAAACUCUCUUAAAUAAGCUAGAUUUGUGUCUUUUCCUCCCCUCCCUUCUCCUCCUUUCCAAACCUCUCAAACUGAGCUUUAGUUACUACUUACUAGUUUAGUUCGAGUGUACCGUCAAUAAUAUACCAUAUGAUUCUAUUUGAGGGUUUAGAUUUGUUCAAGCAAAAAAGAGCAACACCUAUGCCUUGCCCCACCUAAUCCCACUCUUCUUUUCAUUUCCAGCAAACUCUUCCAUAUUCUCGUCCACUCAUCAGAGGCAAGAAGAUCCUUCCCCAUCAACCCUCCUCAUUUUUAUUUUUUUUAUCAGUUCAUUUCCAAUCAGAUUUUGUUGAGGAUUGUUAAAAGAAUUACCCAGAUGAUUGUUUUGGUCAUCAUAAAGUAUUUUCUAGAAACUUAUCCAAAUCCAUAAAAUCCAAGAAUUUCGUGUAAUACAGAAUUUGAAGGCAAAAGUUAUGUAAAACAAAUUUUUAUACACACUGGAGAGAAACACGAUAAGAAUUCAUACACCCAAAUAAUCAUUUUGUAACCUAAAUAAUGGUCUUAUCCAGAAGCAAGAGUUUUUCAUGGCUUUCUUUGCACAAAUCUGCUUCCAAGGUUCAUAAUAUCCCUCCUCAUGUUGGGUUCCUUACAAUUCCAUUGCCGAUGAACCUCACUAUCUAACAUGGAAGGUUUUGCCGGAAAAAACAAAGGGCAGGAAUUGGGUGGGUCAAGGCAUAGGUGUUGUUCUUUCUUGUUUCAACUAGUCUAGACCCUUAAAUUGAUCUUAUGGUAUAUUAUUGAUGGUACACCGGUGAGGGACUUAAAUUGCUCCUUCACCUUAGAAGCCAGAUAUUCUAAGUUCAUUGUUACUUUACUUUGUUAUUAUUGUACAAGUACAUUGCUUUGUGGAAUAGACAAAAAUGAGUGUUAUUUCCAAUUAAAUCCAAAGUGGGGAUCUAGUAUUAUCUUAUGCUGUUUUUACCUAUUUGAAGGUGAUGGGGGUGAGAUUCAAGCAGCAUUAGCUGAGUGGACAGGGCAAAGGACAGUACCUAACGUGUUUAUUGGAGGCAAGCACAUUGGUGGUUGUGAU